UACAGAGGGUGCGAGCGUUGUUCGGAAUUAUUGGGCGUAAAGGGCGCGUAGGCGGUGCGGCAAGUCACCUGUGAAACCUCUGGGCUUAACCCAGAGCCUGCAGGCGAAACUGCCGUGCUGGAGUGUGGGAGAGGUGCGUGGAAUUCCCGGUGUAGCGGUGAAAUGCGUAGAGAUCGGGAGGAACACCAGAGGCGAAGGCGGCGACCUGGAGGAGCAUUGACACUCAACUACGAAAGCGUGGGUAGCAAACAGG
rnacentral:rRNA from 1 species